ensembl:snRNA U6 U6 spliceosomal RNA
UUGCUUCAGCAGCAUACAUACUAAAAACUGGAAUUAUAAAGAGAUUACCAUGCCUCUUGCCCAAAAAUGACAUGCAAAUUCAUGAAGCGUUUCAUAUUUUC